GCCUUUCUGGGGCUAUUUGAGCUACAUCUUAGCGUCUGGAUUUUAUUUAGCUUUCAUUUAGCUCCAGCUGUGGGAUGAGCACGCUUUUGGCAGAGGGCGCAGCUCUUGACAGCCAUUUUGUGAAACGGUUUAGGUCUCGGUAUCGCUUCCGUCAGAGCUAGUAAAGCUUAAAAAGUAAACCUGUUUGGAAAAGGUUUAAGUAAGGUGGGCUAGGAUAGCUGAGUCAACUGAGCACAGCACCAUAAACGCGAUGUUUAGGAAAUUCAGUAAAAAGGCAGCGUUGUGUUUUGGACCGGCCCAGGGCUGCAGUGGAGUCUGACCAGGAAGCACAGCCUCACCUGCGCGUGGUCCCUGUAGCUUUGCUGUGUGCUGCUGCUGGGUGAUACUGGUUUCUGUCGGAAAACAGGUGGGCAGUAAAAUGAUUGAACUGAGUUUGGAGACAGGAAUAGGGAGUUGCCUUCCUGGCUGAGUGGUUAGGCUCUGCAGUCUACUUUAAGAGGACUCAGUCUGUUCUGAGACUUUUCAGGAGUUUCUUGCAGAGCUUCAUCUGGAGGACUAAGAAAGUGGAGCCAGUUGCACUAUAUUGACUCCACUGAUACUAUCCUCCUACAUUAAAUGAUGGAAGAACAAGGCCUGCCUGUGAGAUAAAAGUCAGGACUUACUUGAUCUACCUACAAUGUUUUAAUUGCAGUCAGAGACUGUCAGAGUCAUGUGUUUCUGUAGUAAAAGGUUGGGUGUGUCUGUUUUAAAGCUGCAUUAAACUGUAUUUCAGGGCUAUUGUGUUGUCUCUUGUAUUUGUGCUUUUGGCAUGUCUCACCUGUGUAAUUGCUCACAGGCCCUUUGUUCCCGGCUCCAGCACUGGGUGAGGAGGGACACUGGACAUGCCUUCGAUUACGAUCACUGUCACUUGCCUUAGCUGUCCUGUGCCGUGCCUGGUGGUGACCAUGGGGCCAUUGUCCUGAGCAGACUGCUCUGUACUCAGCCACCCAGCCUGCAUUUUCCAGUAGAUUCACCAAGCUGGCAGCAUAACAACAGAGCUGUUUGGUACCUAUGGAGUCCCUCUGCAAGGGUGUCUGAGCACCUCGCAUUUGGCUCAGAAAAUCUGCCCUUGCACAGUCCAGCAGGAGGGUUGUGAAGUCCUGCGGAUUUGCCAGUUCAGUUCACUAGCUGCAAAGUAUUUUGCCAGGUUACAGCUAUGAUUUAAACACUUGAGGUGAAAGCUGGUGGUGGGGAGUAGAAUCAUGGGUUCACCAGCAGCCUUUGUGCAUUAGAGGCUCUGUUUGGAGGUUCAGAAACUGCUGUGAUACCUGUGUGUUACACUCUUCCAGGUAUCUUGUUGAAAAUAAGAGUGGGGUGCUCAGUUCUUGGCUGAUAGGGGUAAAACAUGUUCCAGUGGGUAGAAGUUGGACCCAGAGUCAAGGAGUGCAUUUUUAAGCAAACAAAAAAUGCUGCUUUCUCACCACUUCAGUCCCCUGCACAGAAGUUGGACCGUAGAGCUGCUGUUCCCCAGGAUGAGCAUCAGCAGGGCACACAUGUCCACAAGCUGCUCUGCUCACUGGCAGACAAAGCAACUGAAGGUCUCUGGCCUGCUUACAGCAGGUCUGACAAAGUGACCAUAGCAACCUUUUCUGCCCUGAAAAUAUCUUAAAUCCUGGUAGGUUAAGAAAUGACCCUGUACUGGUAUAGCUCAGUGUUGCUAAACCAGUCUUCUGAGGGAUUUCAAACAUAUCCAAGAGUAGAUGGUACUGAUCACUGCUGUAGUGACAUACUCUGCCCCCGUUUUUGUGGUUUCUAAAGGCCUGUUUUGGCAAGACUUUUUUAAAGCUGUUUGAGGAAGAAAGACAAUCUUUUGACACACAGCUCUGUGUAAAAUUUCUUUAGUUUUGCCAGUGGCAUUUAUUUGUAGAGACCCUGCAUAUUGUAGAGGCCUUGUUCCUGAUGAUUCCCUAGAAUGGAAACUUGAACCAAUGAUAUUUGUAAUGAAUGUGCAAUAAAUCCGUGGAAAAGCUGCUUUGUUAAUGACUCUUGAUUGAGUUCAGGUAGUUUUGGCAUAUAUGGGUGAAGCUGAUCAGAGCUGGCCAAGCCUGCUUGACAGGCAGGGCCUGUCUUGAUUGGUGUCUGGAAAUGAAACCUGAACAAGGAUGUCUCAACUGUGUGCUGGGCCAGAGUCCUUCCAGCCUCACUGGACACCCAAAGCUUCAAGGGCAGAGCAUUUGAGUGGAAUUCUUCAGUGCUGAGGAGGAGAGCAGAUCUCUGUGGAGGGAGGAUACACCCAAGUGGAGCCCGGGAUUUUGAAUGUCACUCAGCAUCAGGAACUGAGCACUGUAACAGCAUGAAGUUCCUGAGGCAGCUGGGAGGAGGAAGCCUGUCUGCAGUGUUUGGAGAGAUUUGGAAGAAU